UGCCUAAACCCAUAGGGAUUCCUAUGGACAUGGCAGAAAAAUCGCAAUCAACAUAUUGAGCUCGUCAUUCAGUACGUUGAUUGCGUUGCAGGUCGAAAGGCUUGCAGGCCUCUCCGGAGGUC
rnacentral:sRNA from 12 species